rnacentral:rRNA from 1 species
CCUACGGGAGGCAGCAGUGAGGAAUAUUGGUCAAUGGACGAGAGUCUGAACCAGCCAAGUAGCGUGAAGGAUGACUGCCCUAUGGGUUGUAAACUUCUUUUAUAUGGGAAUAAAAUGUUCCACGUGUGGGAUUUUGUAUGUACCAUAUGAAUAAGGAUCGGCUAACUCCGUGCCAGCAGCAGCGGUAAUACGGAGGAUCCGAGCGUUAUCCGGAUUUAUUGGGUUUAAAGGGAGCGUAGGUGGAUUGUUAAGUCAGUUGUGAAAGUUUGCGGCUCAACCGUAAAAUUGCAGUUGAAACUGGCAGUCUUGAGUACAGUAGAGGUGGGCGGAAGUCGUGGUGUAGCGGUGAAAUGCUUAGAUAUCACGAAGAACUCCGAUUGCGAAGGCAGUUCACUGGACUGCAACUGACACUGAGGCUCGAAAGUGUGGGUAUCAAACAGGAUUAGAUACCCGAGUAGUC